rnacentral:SRP_RNA from 2 species
GCGGGGCGCGGUGGCGCACGCCUGUAAUCCAGCACUUUGGGAGGCCGAGGCGGGAGGCUCACUUGAGCCCAGGAGUUCGAGACCAGCCUGGGCAACAUAGCGAGACCCUGUCUUUU